rnacentral:rRNA from 1 species
AUACGGAGGGUGCAAGCGUUAUGCGGAAUCAUUGGGUUUAAAGGGUCCGUAGGCGGGCCGAUAAGUCAGGGGUGAAAUCCCACAGCUUAACUGUGGAACUGCCCUUGAUACUGUUGGUCUUGAGUUACAGUGAAGUGGUUAGAACGUGUAGUGUAGCGGUGAAAUGCAUAGAUAUUACACAGAAUACCGAUUGCGAAGGCAGAUCACUAACUGUUGACUGACGCUAAUGGACGAAAGCGUGGGGAGCGAACAGGAUUAGAAACCCGAGUAGUCC